GAUGAACGCUGGCGGCGUGCCUAACACAUGCAAGUCGAGCGAACAGACGAUGAGCUUGCUCCUCUGACGUUAGCGGCGGACGGGUGAGUAACACGUGGAUAACCUACUUAUAAGACUGGGAGAACUUCGGGAAACCGGAGCUAAUACUGGAUAAUAUAUUGAACCGCAUGGUUCAAUAGUGAAUGACGGCUUUGCUGUCACUUAUAGAUGGAUCCGCGCCGUAUUAGCUAGUUGGUAAGGUAACGGCUUACCAAGGCGACGAUGCGUAGCCGACCUGAGAGGGUGAUCGGCCACACUGGAACUGAGACACGGUCCAGACUCCUACGGGAGGCAGCAGUAGGGAAUCUUGGGCAAUGGGCGAAAGCCUGACGGAGCAACGCCGCGUGAGUGAUGAAGGUCUUCGGAUCGUAAAACUCUGUUAUUGGGGAAGAACAACAGUGUAAGUAAAUAUGCACGUCUUGACGGUACCUAAUCAAAAAGCACCGGCUAACUACGUG
rnacentral:rRNA from 1 species